UACGUAGGGUGCGAGCGUUGUCCGGAAUUAUUGGGCGUAAAGAGCUUGUAGGCGGUUUGUCGCGUCUGCCGUGAAAAUUCGAGGCUCAACCUCGAACUUGCGGUGGGUACGGGCAGACUAAAGUGUGGUAGGGGAGACUGGAAUUCCUGGUGUAGCGGUGAAAUGCGCAGAUAUCAGGAGGAACACCGAUGGCGAAGGCAGGUCCCUGGGCCACUACUGACGCUGAGAAGCGAAAGCAUGGGGAGCGAACAGG
rnacentral:rRNA from 1 species